AACGAACGCUGGCGGCAGGCUUAACACAUGCAAGUCGAACGAGGCCUUCGGGCUUAGUGGCGCACGGGUGCGUAACGCGUGGGAAUCUGCCCUUGGGUUCGGAAUAACAGUUAGAAAUGACUGCUAAUACCGGAUGAUGUCUUCGGACCAAAGAUUUAUCGCCCAGGGAUGAGCCCGCGUAGGAUUAGGUAGUUGGUGGGGUAAAGGCCUACCAAGCCGACGAUCCUUAGCUGGUCUGAGAGGAUGAUCAGCCACACUGGGACUGAGACACGGCCCAGACUCCUACGGGAGGCAGCAGUGGGGAAUAUUGGACAAUGGGCGCAAGCCUGAUCCAGCAAUGCCGCGUGAGUGAUGAAGGCCUUAGGGUUGUAAAGCUCUUUUACCCGGGAUGAUAAUGACAGUACCGGGAGAAUAAGCCCCGGCUAACUCCGUG
rnacentral:rRNA from 1 species